UANCUGCAGUCGACGAUGAAGCCCUUCGGGGUGGAUUAGUGGCGAACGGGUGAGUAACACGUGGGCAAUCUGCCCUUCACUCUGGGACAAGCCCUGGAAACGGGGUCUAAUACCGGAUAACACCGGCUUCUGCAUGGAAGCUGGUUGAAAGCUCCGGCGGUGAAGGAUGAGCCCGCGGCCUAUCAGCUUGUUGGUGGGGUAAUGGCCUACCAAGGCGACGACGGGUAGCCGGCCUGAGAGGGCGACCGGCCACACUGGGACUGAGACACGGCCCAGACUCCUACGGGAGGCAGCAGUGGGGAAUAUUGCACAAUGGGCGAAAGCCUGAUGCAGCGACGCCGCGUGAGGGAUGACGGCCUUCGGGUUGUAAACCUCUUUCAGCAGGGAAGAAGCGAAAGUGACGGUACCUGCAGAAGAAGCGCCGGCUAACUACGUGCCAGCAGCCGCGGUAAUACGUAGGGCGCAAGCGUUGUCCGGAAUUAUUGGGCGUAAAGAGCUCGUAGGCGGCUUGUCACGUCGGGUGUGAAAGCCCGGGGCUUAACCCCGGGUCUGCAUCCGAUACGGGCAGGCUAGAGUGUGGUAGGGGAGAUCGGAAUUCCUGGUGUAGCGGUNAA
rnacentral:rRNA from 1 species